GCGGGUGUGGCGGAAUAGGUAGACGCAAGGGACUUAAAAUCCCUCGGACUUAACAUCCGUGCCGGUUCGAGUCCGGCCACCCGCA
rnacentral:tRNA from 1 species